GAGAUGCUCCACUGAACUGC
rnacentral:tRNA from 1 species